rnacentral:tRNA from 1 species
GUGGUUACAGCUCAGUAAGUAGAGUGCCUGCUUGGCAUGCAGGCCUGGGUUCAAACCCCAGUACCUUCA